rnacentral:lncRNA from 1 species
ACAGGCCAAUUUACUAUUCCCAGCCCAACCAUCUUUCUACUGCUUUGGAAGACAUCACAAUGAAUGAUUGCCCUGCUGCUCAUCACAUCUUGGAUCAGAGAGGAAGGGGCUUACAGACAUGUCCUGUCCAUCAGGGAGAAGUGGUGUACCAGUGCUUGAAGUAAAAUCAAGGAAUGGCAAUAAAUCGAGAGAGCUGGAGUCACAGAAUCAGUCCUGGAAGGGAAUUAUUUAGGAGUAAUUUGGAAAAGGGUCUGCAUAUCCUGCAUUCUGUAUGGCCUUGCUGAGAGGCCAGGAACCAUCCUCCAAUACCCCCAUGUGACAGACCCAGCAGAGCUCUGGAUUUAGGUCCAGAACCACCCUUGGCUUCAGUGAAGCCAGCUCAAAGGAGUCAAGUUUAACAAAAUCAGCCCAUAAGUCGCAAAGAAUAUGAUUAUUGUCUUUCAUCAAGCUCCAGAUUUGAACGUAAGCUGAACUGUACGGGCAGAGUUAGUCUACCAGCCUCAGUGACCUGCAUAUACUUCAGCUUUACCUACACAUUUUAUGCUAAAGGAAAAAUGAGCUUACCAAGCAUUUUUAUUUCCACAAUGUCAUUCUGUUUUCCAGUUCAUUGAAAAGAAAACACCCUGACUUAACAGUGACUUCCCCAGAACAAGCAACACGUAAAGCAACACAAAGCUACACAGUGCAUGGAAAAUGAUAUUCUUUCAUGCUGUGCCUUGUCUUUCUCUUUUAAACAAUGAUUGAUGGGUUUUUGAUUGAAGUUCAGUGGCUUGAUAUCAAAGACAGCAGCUCAUAAAAUCAGAAAGAAAUUAUGACUGUGUAUUAGUGGCUGGUUAUUAUUUAAAAACAAGGCCUAAAACAUAUUGGUUACCCCUUCAUCAAACGCACUCUCGUGGGUAUUCUUUUAUGAUUGUUCCAUUUUCUGAGUCUCACAAAACAAUUUAAAGUUAAGCGUAGAAGAGCUUAUUCUGCUUAAGAUAUCAAGGGAAUUUACAUAAUGACUAAUUUAAAAGCACACGCACAAAUUAACUAAAUUCACACGUAAAGGAAUAUGCUUCCAAAGUUAGCACACUUUUUUGCUGGCUGGGAUUCAGUGGAUAAUUAAAAAACCUCAACCCUCUUGCUGAUCAUCAAUCCAGAAAACGUGUAAGUAGGUUUAUAGAACAAAAGGCGAAGGCCCUGCUCUUGGCACCCUGUCUAGACAAGGAGUUGACCUUAUUUAAAGUGGUGCACGGGGGGACAACUCCUGGGACUUGAAAUCUAUGAAAGUGAAGAGGCUAAUUGCUUGAGAUCAGAUCAGAGAUGUGUGAAUCACAGUGUCCAAUAGAAAAGGUAUCCAAAAUUUGUAUGUGCUUUGGGUAUAUUUUCAAAGAGAGAGAAUAAAACUGAAGAACCUAGGAAGGAAGGCUGCA